UGUAAUAUAGCAACUAGUAUCUAUGAAUAACUAAUUACCACUAAAAGAUAGUGUUUUAUUAGAAUUUCUCCAUCACUAUCAAAUACUCGCUCGUUCCGAUUGAUACUGUUAUCAUUUCGACAGGUAAAUAAUUUUUGUAAUGGCACAUAUAUGCUUUUCUAUCUCACCGCUCUUCUAGAUGAUUAUAAUAUGAAGCCUGCAGAUCAAGUACAACUAAUUUAAGAGCAAAACAAAGAAAAAGUAAAACAAACUUGCCUUAAUCAAUCAAACACUACAAAGAUAUACAUGGAGGGGCAAAUCAACAAAAGAAAAAUAAAAUUGCAAUCAUGAAUUUAAAUACUGAUACACAAAAAUGCAUUCAUGAAAUCAAACACUAAUAUAUUCUCAAUAUGGUGAGUACAGAAAGAAAACAUAAGACAAGGAAGAUAUGAGGAGACAGAAAAAUCCAUAAUCGGAAGAAGAAAGACUGCUGCUCCCAGAACCUCCACCUCCUCCGCGAGCUCGGCCACGACGCUGCGCUGUCACGAGGUCCAAGAGGAGGCACACGGCCAUGACUAAAACUAAAACUUUCGACAUUUUAGAUGUAAACUGAUGCAUGCCUCAUAGGUUGUGCAAAAUGAUGGCGUUUAAUAUAUAGCUGUGCCUGUAUUAGUCAUAACUUAUUUAACCUGUAGAAGGUGGUCGUGCUGACAUGUUUUUCAUUU
rnacentral:lncRNA from 1 species